rnacentral:lncRNA from 1 species
AUGAUGAUUUUUGUAGAAAGAAUGAGCAGAUUUGGUUAUGCAUAUUUCUUUUCAGACUUAUCAGAAGCAACUAGAAAAUUGAGUGAUUGCCUAAAUUUGGUAGAAAAUGUAUAUGAGAAGAAAUUGGACACUUUAAUAAUUGAUAAAGGUGCAGGAGUAUGUGGUGGUGAAUUUAAAGCAUUGUUAAGAUCAAAGAAUAUUAAUUGGAUUGAAAUUGAACAAAUGAAAGGUGAAGAAGGCAUUGCUGAAAAAAGAGCACAACUGUUAAAUGAGAUGAAAUUGUGUAUAUUUAAGGACAGUCACAUAGCAAGCAAUUAUUGGCCAGAAGUGUUACACACAUGUAAUUAUUUGACAAACAGACUGUGGGAUGAGUGUGUGCAGGACAUUCCAUUUCGUAAAAUGUAUGAUCAUGUUCCAAAUUACAAGUUUUUGAGAAUAUUCGGCCAGAGAGCAAAUAUUAACAUUUCAGCUAGUGAGAGAGCAAACAAGAAACAAAGAUACAGAGAAAUGACAUUUAUUGGGUAUAGCAAAAGAUCUUACAAAUUCUUAGAGACGCCUACAAAAGUGAAGCUAUCAAAGAUAGCUUAUUUCGAGAGACCCAAUGAUUGGAAAAACAUACAUUCCAACAUAGAAAAAUUACAUGGUUUUCAGCGAGCUAAAGUAAAUGUAGAAAGUGAAGGAACAUCCAAGAGUGUAAUUGAGUCAGUGAGUACAGAAUACACAACACCAAAGAAACUUUCAUCAGUAAAUCAAGGUACAUCUAGUACACCUAUGAAACAGGGAACAAGAAGAUCCAGUAACAAAGGUGUAGACACAAAGGUAAAAGAAGAAGAGGUACAAUUGAGUACACAAAAGAAGGCUAGCAUUGGAACACCAAAAGGCAAAAUAACAACUAAGCAAAUAAAACAAGAGACCACAGAAAAUGUGUGCAUGAGUGUAGGAAAGAAAGAAAAAAAAAUGUGCGCUAGUACCGUAUUUGUUGAUCCAACGAAGAUCCACAUGUCACCUGUUGGAAAAGACUAUGUUGAUAGUGGUGGAUUUGAAAUAGUUGAUUGUUAUUGA